AUUGAACGCUGGCGGCAGGCCUAACACAUGCAAGUCGAACGAGUGGCGGACGGGUGAGUAAUGUCUGGGAAACUGCCCGAUGGAGGGGGAUAACUACUGGAAACGGUAGCUAAUACCGCAUACUAUCGGAUGUGCCCCGAUGGGAUUAGCUAGUAGGUGGGGUAAAGGCUCACCUAGGCGACGAUCCCUAGCUGGGCUGAGAGGAUGACCAGCCACACGGGAACUGAGACACGGCCCAGACGCCUACGGGAGGCAGCAGUGGGGAAUAGUGCACAAUGGGCGCAAGCCUGAUGCAGCCAUGCCGCGUGUAUGAAGAAGGCCUUCGGGUUGUAAAGUACUUUCAGCGAGGAGGCGUUACUCGCAGAAGAAGCACCGGCUAACUCCGUGCCAGCAGCCGCGGUAAUAC
rnacentral:rRNA from 1 species